ACUCAAAGGAAUAGACGGGGGCCCGCACAAGCAGCGGAGCGUGUGGUUUAAUUCGAUGCAACGCGAAGAACCUUACCUGGCCUUGACAUCAAGGUGGUAGGAAACCGAAAGGCGCCCGACCCUCGGGAGCCUUGACAGGUGCUGCAUGGCUGUCGUCAGCUCGUGCCGUGAGGUGUUGGGUUAAGUCCCGCAACGAGCGCAACCCUUGGCGUAUGUUUCACGUGUCAUGCGCAACAGCCGGCGCAAGCCGGAGGAAGGUGGGGAUGACGUCAAGUCAGCAUGGUCCUUAUGGCCAGGGCUACACACACGCUACAAUGGCCGGUACAAUGGGUCGCCAUGCCGCGAGGCAGCGCUAAUCCACAAAGCCGGUCUCAGUUCGGAUUGGAGUCUGCAACUCGACUCCAUGAAGGCGGAGUUGCUAGUAAACGCAGGUCAGCCACACUGCGUUGAAUACGUUCCCGGGCCUUGCACACACCGCCCGU
rnacentral:rRNA from 1 species